AAUACAAGCCAUAAUAACCAAACCUUAGUUUUUCUCUAAGUUAUAGUCUGAUUUUUCUUCUGUGCAUUUGCUCAUCAUUAAAUAAUCUGUACUUUAAUCAUGGACCUUCACUAAUUCUAUCAAUUUCUUUUCGACAGAUUCAUAACAUGGCAACAUUUUGUGUCGGCAUUUUUCCAUGUGACAACACUGUUGAUAUCGUUCGGGAGUCUUGGCUUUGUGGACUCAAUAAUGACUUAGAGGAAUUGUGCAAAUUCCCCCCUGUAAAAGGGGAUAGGAAGAAACUCCAAAAUCUGCUGCUCCAGCAGGAGGAACCUCAUCCAUCGUGGCAAGAAUAUGUGAUAGUUGCCAAGCGAACUGGUAUCGAGUCAUACUCAGAGGCAGUCCGCUUACUAAAAAUAAUACAAGAGGACGAAGAUGGAGUUACUACAGACCCCGAGCAACUCGGCCGUGGUUGUCGGAGCCCCAAACGGAAGCGAAUUCUCUCAUCAUCGGAAGAAGAUAAUUCACAGGUCAAAAAAGCUAAAUUGAAAAUAGGCGGAGGAAGAAAAAAGUCAAGGGAAGUGCGCAGUAACGCGCAAAACCUAUGUACAUCAAGUUUACAGGAUUUUAAAAUCCCUCAUUGUAAAUCUUUUAGAAUUCCAUCGCCAACUUUAAGCUCAAGUAUUAAACAAAGUAAUUCCAAAGCUGGAAACCCAACAUAUGCCACAUCAACCCAAAAACCAUUUUUGUCACCUCUGAUGGACAUCAGCAACAUUUACCCAACCCUAAAUCUUACUGAUCAAGCAGAAAAAAACAAAGAAACUGGUCCUCUGAAAAACAGUGUGCCUCAAAAUCGACUUAAUCCAAGGCCUUUGCCGGUCAGAAGCAUCAAAGAAAGUCAUUCUUCGAAGAACACUGCUCCUCAGAAUCAAAAGCCCACAAAUCAAAGGCCUGCAGUGGCAAAAAUCGAUGGCAAUCAAUCUCGGCCAAAAAAUGUUCCUCAAAAUGGAAAUUCUGUGAACAAACGGCCCACGGUAGGAAAAAUUGUUUCUCAGAAUCGAAAUCUUAUUAACCAACGGCCCACAACAGGAAACGUCACAGUUGGAAAUCGAUCUCGGAUAAACAGUAUUCCUCAGAAUAGAAAUCCUCCGAAUCAACGACCAGCAGCAGCAAACAUUAAUAAAAAUGGACCUGCGAUAAAGAAUGUUUCUCAGGUUCUCCGAGAUAUCAGAAAUAAUCUAAAUCGUCAACCUGCGGCAGGAAACAUCAACAGAAAUACAUCUCGGACUAAUACUGUUCCUAACCAGCACACUGAUGUUCCAAUAAUGUUGCUUCGUGUAGAAGGUAAACUAGACAAAGUUUUAGAAAAAAUCGACUUCGCAACUGGUGCUACACAACGUUGCAACAAGAAACUCACAGGUGUCAAGUUAGCUGUUGAUGAUAGUUGCGAAGUUCUGAAGGAUGUUCAACUGAAAAUGUCAAGUAUGGUGAUUACCGACACAUGUAACCAUAGUGAUGAAGUGAAACUGCGGUUUCCAGUAAAAUCAACCGAUGAACUUAAACUUCUAGAAGACGAUCUUUUUGAUCCUGAUCUACGCAAAAAAUGCAUUUCAUAUUUCAGCAAGAUGAAUACUAAGUCCCUUGGCGACUCAGUUCGAAAAAUAGCCAAGCAGAUUAUGACCGAUAAACUGGCAUUACAGUAUUCAUGGACUGGACGAAAAGAGGGCAAAUCUGCCUUAGCAGAUUACCCCACGUUCAUCACUGUUUUACAAGAGGCAGUCAGAUUCUCUCAUAAAGUGACAAACGAAGAUAUUAAUGUUCCUUUCAAAUUGUGGCUGGUAAAAGCAAAAGAGCGGUUAACUAAACCAAGGUAAGAAUUAAUGCAUUCAGACCCUCUUUCAGGGCGCCCAAAGUCAGAUUUCUCCACUUCCACUUUUUAUUUGCUUGAAACCUUAUGCUCCUAAAUUUCUCAAAUUCUAUGGAUGCCAUCUUUUUAAAUAUUCUGGGUGGAAUACUUCAAGAAUGAGCCGUCAGUUGGUUCUUUAACAGAUAAAUACAAUUGACCGAGUAUCUCAGAAGAACUGCUGAUCCCUCAGGUGGAGGGAUGUAGAGGCUAGGAGGCAGGGACCGAGCCUACUUGCGUGCUGCUGAACACCAAUUAAGCAUCCCUGAAUCCCUGUCUACACGGGGUACAUGCCGUUUUGGCCACUAACUUCAUCCGCUGCUUCUAACUGCUGAAGACUGUGGUCUUUUGCUGUUUGUUCCAAAACUAGGCAGGGACAGUAGUUGUCUAAAUUAGAUUUUCUCCCUGCACUGAAGCAUUAUAAAAAGUGUGUUCUCAUGUUCUAUUGACAGAUGAAGGUAUUUGAAACCUGGCUCUAAAAUCUGCUCUACAACUAGCAGUUUUUUAACUUUAGAUAGAAGUAUCAUGGUUUGUUGUGCCUUGAAAAGUCCUUGAACAUACUUGAUAUUUUUUUCGCAUUUUCAAGUCCUUGAAUUUAAUUCUGAGAUUUAGCCCCGUUGUACUGGAAAGUUCAUGAAUUUUACAUCAUCCUGUGACUUCCUGUCUUUUUGUAUCAUUUUG
rnacentral:lncRNA from 1 species